rnacentral:rRNA from 1 species
CCUACGGGAGGCAGCAGUGGGGGAUAUUGCACAAUGGGGGAAACCCUGAUGCAGCGACGCCGCGUGCGUGAUGAAGUAUUUCGGUAUGUAAAGCUCUAUCAGCAGGGAAGAAAAUGACAGUACCUGACCAAGAAGACCCGGCUAACUACGUGCCAGCAGCCGCGGUAAUACGGUGGGGGCAAGCGUUAUCCGGAUUUACUGGGUGUAAAGGGAGCGUAGACGGUUAUGUGAGUCUGGAAUGAAAGCCUGGGGACCAACCCCGGGACUGCUUUGGAUACUGUGUAACUAGAGUACAGGAGGGGCAGGCGGAAUUCCUGGUGUAGCGGUGAAAUGCGUAGAUAUCAGGAAGAACACCGGCGGCGAAGGCAGCCUGCUGGACUGAAACUGACGUUGAGGCUCGAAAGCGUGGGGAGCAAACAGGAUUAGAUACCCUUGUAGUC